GACGAACGCUGGCGGCGUGCUUAACACAUGCAAGUCGAACGGUGACGGAGGAGCUUGCUCCUCCUGAUCAGUGGCGAACGAGUGAGUAACACGUGAGCAAUCUGCCCCUGACUCUGGGAUAACUGCGGGAAACUGUAGCUAAUACCGGAUACGACGCGCGAAGGCAUCUUCUGCGCGUGGAAAGAAUUUCGAUCAGGGAUGAGCUCGCGGCCUAUCAGCUUGUUGGUGAGGUAAUGGCUCACCAAGGCGACGACGGGUAGCCGGCCUGAGAGGGUGACCGGCCACACUGGGACUGAGACACGGCCCAGACUCCUACGGGAGGCAGCAGUGGGGAAUAUUGCACAAUGGGCGCAAGCCUGAUGCAGCAACGCCGCGUGAGGGACGACGGCCUUCGGGUUGUAAACCUCUUUUGGCAGGGAAGAAGCGAAAGUGACGGUACCUGCAGAAAAAGCACCGGCUAACUACGUG
rnacentral:rRNA from 1 species